UACGUAGGGGGCAAGCGUUGUCCGGAUUUAUUGGGCGUAAAGAGCGUGUAGGCGGCCGUACAGGUCAGCUGUGAAAACUCGAGGCUCAACCUCGAGACGUCGGUUGAAACCGUACGGCUAGAGUCCGGAAGAGGAGAGUGGAAUUCCUGGUGUAGCGGUGAAAUGCGCAGAUAUCGGGAAGAACACCCGUGGCGAAGGCGGCUCUCUGGACGGUACUGACGCUGAGACGCGAAAGCGUGGGGAGCGAACAGG
rnacentral:rRNA from 1 species